rnacentral:rRNA from 1 species
ACGCUGGCGGCGCGCUUUAAUACAUGCAAGUCGAACGAGAAGCCAGAGCUUGCUCUGGUGGAAAGUGGCGAACGGGUGAGUAACACGUGAGAAACCUGCCCCAAAGAUUGGGAUAAGCCUUGGAAACGAGGUCUAAUACCAAAUACCUUCUUUUUAACACAUGUUAAAAGAGAAAUGCUCCGGCGCUUUGGGAUGGUCUCGCGAUCUAUCAGCUUGUUGGUGAGGUAACGGGCUCACCAAGGCAUCGACGGAUAGCUGGUCUGAGAGGAUGUCCAGCCACAUUGGAACUGAGACACGGUCCAAACUCCUACGGGAGGCAGCAGUAGGGAAUCUUGCACAAUGAGGGAAACCUUGAUGCAGCGACGCCGCGUGCGGGACGAAGGCCCUAGGGUUGUAAACCGCUUUCAGUAGGGACGAAAGUGACGGUACCUACAGAAGAAGCCCCGGCCAACUAUGUG